rnacentral:rRNA from 1 species
GACGAACGCUGGCGGCGUGCCUAAUACAUGCAAGUCGAGCGCAGGAAGCUCACGGAACUCUUCGGAGGGAAGUGAAGGGAAUGAGCGGCGGACGGGUGAGUAACACGUAAGGAACCUGCCCCAAGGAUUGGGAUAACUCCGAGAAAUCGGAGCUAAUACCGAAUAGUUCUUCAGACCGCAUGGUCUGUGAUGAUGAAAGGCGCUUCGGCGUCACCUUGGGAUGGCCUUGCGGUGCAUUAGCUAGUUGGUGGGGUAAUGGCCCACCAAGGCGACGAUGCGUAGCCGACCUGAGAGGGUGAUCGGCCACACUGGGACUGAGACACGGCCCAGACUCCUACGGGAGGCAGCAGUAGGGAAUCUUCCACAAUGGACGAAAGUCUGAUGGAGCAACGCCGCGUGAGUGAUGAAGGUUUUCGGAUCGUAAAACUCUGUUGUAAGGGAAGAACAGGUAUGAGAGGUAAUGCUCAUGCUAUGACGGUACCUUACGAGAAAGCCACGGCUAACUACGUGCCAGCCGCCGCAGUAAUAC